AACCCCCGGCUGUGCCGGGGGUUCAGAAAAGCUUUAGCGAUGCAAAAAAAGAGAAACUCCUUUUGAUACAAUAAAAGCGCGGUCUGCCAACUGCACAAAGUAUCAAAAG
rnacentral:sRNA from 1 species